UGAGCAGAGGCAGGCGGAGAGCGAGGACUGACACGUUAGCUGCAAAGCCGGCCAAUUAACAUUCCCUUUCGGAAGCACCAAUUUCUACUCAAAGCAGAUUCCCUGGAAGUGGAGCACCCUCGCCCCGCCCACCCCCGGAGGAGCAAGGUCAAGACCAGGGCUGCUCUGUGCUUGCCCCCAUCUUCCCUUCUCCUCCCAAGUCUGCCAGGAGACCAGCGGAGAGGUGCAGGUACAAAAACAACCUAUCAGAAACUAGAUGUUACAGGAAACUCUGGUUUUCCUUACAGGAAACUCUGGUUUUCACUGGCAUGUGGAUACUGCCUUGCGAUUACCUGUAUUGAUUUCUGGGUAGUGAAGACUGGGUGAAACUUACUCCUGCCUGCUCUGCCAGAGCCGGUUCACUCCAGGUAACCUACCGGGGUGCUGCAGCACUGCCACGCUGGGAACAACGGGCGGACAGCAACAAGGAAAUCUGGGAUCCCCAACGUUCUCCCAGGAGAGGCCACCUCCAUUUACACAGGAACUAACAUCACCGUUUAGCCGCUCCUGGACAUUUUCACGCUCAGAAUGUAACGCUACGGGUCCGUCCACCGCAAGGCCCUCAGCUCAGGCCCUCAACCCCACGUUCAUGCUGGGCCGGUAUAGCAGCUGCUGUCCACAGCAUCUCCUUGCCAGCAGUCACCCAGCACUUGGAGCCAUCACUGGGCUCACAUCUGGCCCCAUGUAGAAUUUCCAAGAUCCCCAUGGUCGGCACGGCUCCCACGGCUACUCCAGUCAGGGAGGCUGUAUCGGAGCCCAGCCAGGCCCAUUUCCCCACCUGCACAAGGGCAGAGCCGUGGCAGAGGCAGUCGGGCCGCGCGGCCGACGAUGCAAACCGCCUGGCCCUGCACACUGGGUGCCGGCGGACCCUGGCCUACACACGCCGCGCGGGGCUGCCGCGCCUUUGCUCCGCCUCUCCAGGCGGAUCCCCACCUCGCCACACGGCCCCUCCCACGUGCACGGCCUCCAGACUCACAUCCCUCUUCAAACCCCAAUUCGACCCCGAGCUAAGUGGGGUCCCCUCUGUGGACUCUGCAUCCAACUAGCUGGCCCGUGUGGAUCUCAGAGGUGCUGGUCUGGGCGGGGAUGCAGAGGUUCCUGGCACCGCGGCUGAUGUCUGCUGAGCGCUGGCUGCGUACUGGGCGUCGUGCUCGGCGCUCUGCCUGCACUAACCCCGUUUACCCUCAUCACAAGAUACGAGGUUGGAAACCCCUGGACACACGGCUUGUCUCCCCUCCCUCCUGUCACCGCUCCACUCAGUUCCCGCUGCAUCCUGGACAACGACCGCGGCCUCUGAACUGGAUUCUCCACACUCGGCUCCCAUCCAGAGAACCUGCCAAAGUCAGCACAGAAAUCACUGGAAGCCAAGGAUCUGAAGUUGUGCACACAGCACAAGGCGACUGAGAGCACGCCUGUCGACUCUCGGCUGGGCUGAUCAGCGUGUGACCAGGGCUCAGCUAAGAGCCUUCCCAGCUCUUCCCAGAGAACUGGCCCUCUGCCUGGGUGCACAAUGUCUUCAGAAGAGCUGGCCUAACCACCCAGGAAAACAGAAAAAAAGAGCACAGAAAAGGGGGCGUAUGCUUGUGUUAAUCAACAGACCUGCUCCACCAUUCUGCUUUCCUCUUUAAACAUUUUAAAGACUUAAGU